AUGUCCUGGGGAGAUUGGGGAAGGAAAAAAGCAGGAAAAAUAUAUAUAUAUAUGGGACUAGAGUCGGGCAUGCUUGGUUUGUAGUCCUGUAAUAAUGGUGGUGAUAUUGGUGGUAAUGGUUAAGAAGUCGAUGAAAACUAGUUUGGAAACUGAACUGACCUUUAGAGUAGAAAAAAAGAAUGACCAGACUUUACUAAUUAUGCCACAGGGAUUCUCUCUCCUGGGUUACCAAAAGCAGCCCCCAAAACAGUCUAUAUUAAAGCUCGAAUGACAAGAAAUGGGGAGGGGGUUGAGGAAGCAAAAAAAUGGGGAGGGGUGAGGCAGAGCUUAAUAAAGGGCUCCCAAAAGAGAGAAGGAGCCCUCCCUAACUUCCCACUGAUGCAGGCGAAUUUUACCUCCACAAAACCCUAUGGAAACCCAGCCACAGAUGCCUGCUAGCAAGGCCUGGAGUACAUUAGGCUAAGCAGGUCUAGCACACAGCUCUGCUUCCUCUCCUCCUCCCUCUGCCCCAAAUCUUCCAGGCUGAAGCUUCCCCUCUUCCUCUCCUCAACCCUUCUGAGGUUCCAAGUGCUAACUCCAGUCCAUUCGGCACAUGGCACAAUGAGGGACCGAAUCCCUUCUCCCCUUGUCCCUGGAAUAGGCAAUCUGUAGGCCCGGUGACCAGUGUCUGUGAGUCACCUAAAGUCUUCAGUUCUUAUCCCUCUGCUGCAGGGAAAUUAUAAUUAAAACAAACCCCUGUUUCAGACCCCUGGGGACAACGGUGGCUGGAGGAGGUCCAAGCUGCCCCAGGCAGGUGGGGAGCCAAAGCUGGUCAAGGUUACCCACCUUUGAGCAGCAACCACCAAAUCCACCCGGGCAGCAGGCCUAAGACCCUUCUCCACUUCUCACCCAGAUGUGUCGCUGGCCCAUCUCCCCAGCAACCCCCACUACCCAACUCCAUCCUCAUGCCCCCUGAUCCCCAUCCCUGGAGAGAUCCGGCCUUUGCUGCAGCACUUGAGCAAGGCCGUGCAGUGUGCUUCUCUCCAGCAGGGCCCUUCCCAGACCCCUGAAAGGGAAGUCGUUCCUUUGGACGGUCCCCCAACAGCGCGGGCCCAGUCCUGUCCUUGUUCUACUUGUCUAUUGAGGACCCUCCCGGCGGCCGCCGCCGGUCCAGCGCUCGACCAGGGGGCAGCGGUGCAGGCGAGACAGACGCGCGUCCGCCUCAAUCCCCUGCCUGGGCUUUGGUGGGAGUCGAGAGCAUUUCCUAGCGCCCAAGCCAUGGUGGCCAAACAGCGGAUCCGGAUGGCUAACGAGAAGCACAGCAAAAACAUCACCCAAAGGGGGAACGUAGCCAAAACCCUGAGGCCGCAAGAAGAGAAAUAUCCUGUGGGACCAUGGCUGUUGGCACUGUUUGUUUUUGUUGUCUGUGGCUCAGCUAUCUUUCAGAUCAUUCAGAGCAUAAGGAUGGGCAUGUGAGAAGGCCCGGGGAUUUGCCACUGCCCCCUCCCGCUGGCGGCUGGAGGACCACUUAAGCUUUGAGCCGGGGAUCUGUGGGAAGCAGAGCAGCCACACAGAAUAGAAAAAGGCUCCCUCACUUGUUCCCUGACCACUUCAUCAUGGAUGUCAGACCAAAUUGCCUCUCACAGGACAUCUUGGGACAUCCGUGUUCUCGAGCGGAAAGGACAUUUUGCUUUUCUGUUGACAGGAUUGGGAGCUCCGGGUGUCUGCAGCAGGGCCCUGUGGUGGGUUUCUCCCUUGCUUUCACUAAUGUCUGCAUGUGGCCCUCUGAGUUGUCACUGGUUUCCUUUCUAUGGAUACGGUCUCUCCUCCAUUGGGAAUUGGUUGUACAAAUAAAUGUCUUUGUUCAACCUUA